GACGAACGCUGGCGGCGUGCUUAACACAUGCAAGUCGAACGGAAAGGCCCUGCUUUUGUGGGGUGCUCGAGUGGCGAACGGGUGAGUAACACGUGAGUAACCUGCCCUUGACUUUGGGAUAACUUCAGGAAACUGGGGCUAAUACCGGAUAGGAGCUCCUGCUGCAUGGUGGGGGUUGGAAAGUUUCGGCGGUUGGGGAUGGACUCGCGGCUUAUCAGCUUGUUGGUGGGGUAGUGGCUUACCAAGGCUUUGACGGGUAGCCGGCCUGAGAGGGUGACCGGCCACAUUGGGACUGAGAGACGGCGCAGACGCGUACGGGGGGCAGCAGUGGGGAAUAUGACACAAUGGGCGGAAGCCUGAUGCGGCAACGCCGCGUGCGGGAUGACGGCCUUCGGGUUGUAAACCGCUUUCGCCUGUGACGAAGCGUGAGUGACGGUAAUGGGUAAAGAAGCACCGGCUAACUACGUG
rnacentral:rRNA from 1 species